CCUACGGGAGGCAGCAGUGGGGAAUAUUGCACAAUGGGGGGAACCCUGAUGCAGCAACGCCGCGUGGGUGAAGAAGUACUCCGGUAUGUAAAGCCCUGUCAGCAGGGAAGAAAAUGACGGUACCUGACCAAGAAGCCCCGGCUAACUACGUGACAGCAGCCGCGGUAAUACGUAGGGGGCAAGCGUUAUCCGGAUUUACUGGGCGUAAAGGGCGCGUAGGCGGUAAUAUAAGUCAGAUGUGAAAGGUGGGGGCUCAACCCCUAGCGGGCAACUGAUACUGUAUAACUUGAGUGUGAGAGGGGGAGGCGGAAUUCCUAGUGUAGCGGUGAAAUGCGUAGAUAUUAGGCGGAACACCAGUGGCGAAGGCGGCUUUCUGGCUCAUAACUGACGCUGAGGCGCGAAAGCGUGGGGAGCGAACAGGAUUAGAUACCCCAGUAGUC
rnacentral:rRNA from 1 species